AAUGAACAUGAUAUUAAGAUUGUGCAAGUACUUUCAUGUGAUAUGAAAUCCUUUCCAUGCAAUACAUUGUUGCUAACCAUGCAUAGUAUGAGAUCCCUACUUAUGAUAUUAUAUAUUAUGGACUCUACUCUUAAGAUCAAGUCAGUCAUGUGUGUCGGUUUCCUUCCAUCGAGUCCUGGGGGUACUUGUACCCAAAAAC
rnacentral:lncRNA from 1 species